UACGUAGGGUCCGAGCGUUGUCCGGAAUUAUUGGGCGUAAAGAGCUCGUAGGCGGUGUGUCGCGUCGGCCGUGAAAACCUGCAGCUUAACUGUGGGCUUGCGGUCGAUACGGGCAUCACUGGAGUUCGGCAGGGGAGACUGGAAUUCCUGGUGUAGCGGUGAAAUGCGUAGAGAUCAGGCGGAACACCCGUGGCGAAGGCGGCCAGCUGGGCCGUCCCUGACGCUGAGGCGCGAAGGCGUGGGGAGCGAACGGG
rnacentral:rRNA from 1 species